GAAAUACUCCCUCCGUCCCAAAAUUCUUGUCUUAGAUUUGUCUAGAUACGGAUGUAUCAAGUCACAUUUUAGUAUUAGAUACAUCCGUAUCUAGACAAAUCUAAGACAAGAAAUUUGGGACAGAGGGAGUAGAUG
rnacentral:pre_miRNA from 1 species